rnacentral:tRNA from 2 species
GGAGGGAUGUCCGAGUGGUUGAAGGAGCCUGCCUCGAAAACAGGUGUGCGGUUUCCCGUACCGGGGGUUCGAAUCCCUUUCCCUCCG